CAAGGAAUUUUCCCCAAUGGGCGCAAGCCUGAGGGAGCAACGCCGCGUGCAGGACGACGGCUUUCGGGUUGUAGACUGCUUUUGCGUGGGACGAUAACGACGGUACCACGCGAAUAAGCCCCGGCUAACUCCGUGCCAGCAGCCGCGGUAAUACGGAGGGUGCAAGCGUUAAUCGGAAUUACUGGGCGUAAAGCGUGCGCAGGCGGCUGGCUAAGUCGGAUGUGAAAGCCCCGGGCUCAACCUGGGAAUGGCAUUCGAUACUGGCCAGCUAGAGUUUGGUAGAGGUAAGUGGAAUUCCGGGUGUAGCGGUGAAAUGCGUAGAUAUCCGGAGGAACAUCAGUGGCGAAGGCGGCUUACUGGACCAAAACUGACGCUCAGGCACGAAAGCGUGGGUAGCAAACAGGAUUAGAUACCCGCGUAGUCC
rnacentral:rRNA from 1 species